AAGUCGGACGCUUAACCGACUAAGCCACCCAUGCGCCCCAGGAAUGUUCUAAUUUCUGACCACUUUGCCAAAGGGAAAUUUAAGGUAUACUGAGCGAGGAUAAAUGACUUACUCAAGAUCACUCAGCUACUUGACAGCCAGAGGUCCAUGCGCCCUGGAGGAGUAAGGAUAUGGUUGAGACCUCAGAGGUGUUUAGAGGAAGAGACCAGGUUGGAGUCAGAAUGGACUUGUGCCUGCGGGAAGGUUACUGCGUGUGCAGGACUUCGAACGCUGCAUAGCAAAGAGUCGGCGCUCCUCCCAAAGUGACCGCGGGCACCAUUAUCGACGCUAGCAGCUGGGCAGGGCGAGGAACCCGACUUGAUAAGAUUUUGGCAUUAACCCUGACAAACUAUCGAAUGUGGACCGGGAAACUCACGCCAAGGCUUUUGAAAAGCACCCGCUGUGACACCCUUUGGUGUCCUCUGCCGCCGCAGUAGCCGAGCGUGUUAGGCUCAGCCCGCCCGGCCAGAGGCACCCAACCUGGCGGUGGUCAGGGCUACCCGAGGACACCGGAACCCUAGCGGCGGCUUGGCGGAGGAGCCGCAGGCCGGGUUCCAGCCUACGAGCACCUGGGCGGGGCCUGGGCUCGGCUCCGCCCGAGGGCAACUCGGCGGGUUCUCUACCUGUGACCUGGAUUCCUCUGCGCCAGGAGGGGGCGGAAGGCAGCGCCGCCGGGGUCCUCAGCCCGGAGCUUGCAAAUAAGGGUCUCUUGAUUGGGAAAACUCCAAAUCCUGGUAUCGGUGCACAAAGCAGCCUUUUUAAAGCGAGCGGCCGGGGCUGUGUAAUAAUUUACCCGCGUUUGUCUACGCACACCUGCCUCUCUCUUUUAGACCUACAAAUGUUUACCCGGUUCCCACCCAAACCAAAUGCCGGUUUGUUUAUUAACCCCAGAGGUUUCAGCCGGCUUUCAAAGAGACAGAUCCGGGCCGAGAAGGAAGCUUCAAAAAAUUAACAUUUCAAAUGAAAGCGCUCCGGAGUUGUGGGGGAGGGGAGCGGAGUGGGGGCGGGUGCCAAUGGUUGCUGGUGCCGCGGACUCCGCUUUGCCUGGGGGCGGGAGCCGAUAUUUACAAGACAGAAGGCGCCGCUCGGAGCUGCCUUUGUUGUGCGGAUGACCUCGCGGGCAUUUCCGAGACUGAUCGAUGGCCUGGGGGGACUAAGCCCGGCUGUCCGGCCGCGGCCCCGGGAGCGGAUGUGGUGUGAAGAGCCAAGGCCCGUCCAGGAGCUGCACGGGUCCGGAGAACACGUCGGGGACGCUUUCGCCGCAGCGCCCCCGCUCUGCUGUCCCUCCUGGUGCUCGCAAGCGGUUGAGGGACGCACCGUGCAGCAGCAGCAGGGUUGGCCCGUCCACCUCCACCUUCGUUCCUCCUGCCCGCUGAGUCCCAUCGGGGUGCGGCCUCUGAAGCUCCAGGAAGGAACUGUGCGUGCGAACCCGCGGCCGGGAGCUGGCCCUAGGCGUCCAAGGCCGCCUGGUGGCGCGUCGCGAGCUGCCAUGCCCAUUCAGGCACGCUUCGCGCUGUCGCGGCCUUUACAACCAGGUGCACGUUUCCUGGACGUCUCUGCGGCACUCACGUCUCCAGCGGUCACUUAAGCGUUGCAUCCUCCGUCCCGCUGAAGCUGUUGUACACAACUGCCUCGGGGCCCGGCGGCUUCUCCGCCCUCAAACCCCUUGGCGACCCCUAACAGAACUCCAUGAAAUUGAGGUUACACUUAUAAUUAGCUGUGCACCCUUGGCUUCCCCAUGCCUCGGCUUCCCUCGGGACAGGGUCCUGGGUCUCCUCCAGAGAAUGAAUAUUUGCAUGCAGGGUCUCCCAUACUCACCUCAGGCUGUGCAUCCUCUCCUCCGGAAUCAGAUACUUCCCAGAGGACCUCUGGGAUUAUGGAAAGGGAAUGAGGUGCCAGUUUUGCUAAAACAAGGGCAAUUUAUACCAGACUCCCCUCCCCCUCCCAAAAGGGUUUUAGGAGGUAGCUCUGAGUUAGUGGCCUCGAGACUUCAGGCUCUGUUGAUAAAUUGCAAGGUCCAAUCCCAGCCAGCUUUUGAGCUUUAUCUCGCUCUGCCCAGAAACUGUGGGUCUCCUGACAUUGCAGACUCCACAGUAGUCUCAAACUUUGAGGAAUGGAUGUGCUCUGUUAAUUCGGUGCCCUGAAAAAUACACGUGAUCUCCCCAUUUUGUACCUCGCUUUAGGCUCCAGGCGGUAAAAUUUGUCCAGGCCCAGGUUUAAGAAUCCUGUUCCAGAACCUUUCCAGGCUCCACUUAACCUGCUUAAUCCUCCUUUCUCCUGCCAAGCUGGCUUACUUGUUAUUCUCUAGCAGGUAUCUGGGCCAUGCAGCUUCGGUGUUUUUGUGUAACAGGCAGCUGCCUACACGAGUGCCCCCACUUGAAGUUCUUUCCCCACACUCUCCCCCCAAGCCAAGGGUCAUCACCCCUCAACUGCUACAGAAUUGGUUGAACCUUCUACCUGGAGCCUGCUGUCUCCUAGCCUUUGUCUUCAUUGGCUUUGUCUCAGUCCCCAUGACUGACACUGCCUGGGACAGGGCAUUGACUUCCCUCUUCUGUGUCCCCUCUCCACCCCUGUAGUCCAGCCCACUCUCAGAGUUUAUCACGUUGCACUGGUGACUUUAGGACCCAUUUGAUGACUUCAUCUCCAAGAUAAUCUCCCAAGUGCCUAAGAUGGUUCAGAAAUCGCCAGAAGACACACAGAAUAAAUUCUUUUUUUUAAGUUUAUUUUUUUUAGUAAUCUGUGAUAUGGGAAA